CAUCACCACGGUGAUAACAGAUGAUGCUGAUCAAUAUCCGCAACCAAUUCUAGCCAAAUAUUUGGAAAGCUGGACUCUACAACCUAUACUCUACAACAAAUACCCGGGUAUUCUACAAACACAACCUCCAGCAAUGUAUCUAAGGAAUGUAAACUUCUACAGGCAUUUAAAGACUUUGGAUUACAAAUACAAUUACUACUUUUAAUUUUGGAUUACAAUUCGUAUCCGGAUCUAUCCAAGAAUAUCUUACUCUGGAACUUGGUGUUCUUUUCAAUUCUUU
rnacentral:lncRNA from 1 species